rnacentral:lncRNA from 1 species
AGGUACUUCAGCACUCUUUUGCUUUUGCUUUUUUUUUUUACUCCACUUUCCAUAUUCUAUCGAGUUUCUAUGUAGUGUGUACGCCAAAUGCCCAUGGUUGUUAAUCAAGGGGCAGAAUGCAUCAAAGUUGAUGCAUUUUUAUUGGCGUGGCAUGUUUGCAGUGUAUCUGCCAUGUCUUCUAACUGGUAGACAUGUAUGUGUUUUCACGUGCAUGUUUGUUAGAACACUAUUCUGUCAAACUAGGUUGUCAUCAGCAACUAUCUUCUCUGGUUCCAUGUCCUCAGAUGGCAUGCACCAUAAGAUUUGUCAGUCAGUGCUGAUGUAGUUAGUUGCAGUUUCUCAGUAUUAUCUCAUGAAGCAAAUGGUCUCGUCUUGCAUCUAUGCAUCUGCUGACCUUCCCUGGGCCUCCUCUGUGUGUGAUUACCAAUUUCUUUCUUAGUACCCAAUUGCUUUGUCCGGCCUAGGGAGGCUCAAAAGGCUGCUGACGAAGCAAAAGCUAGGUUUGGCCACAUUGAUGGAGAUCAUCUUACGCUCUUGAACGUGUACCAUGCUUACAA